rnacentral:rRNA from 1 species
AAGCACGAGGAGGAGGCUCUUGUGGUUGUGGGCAACAAGAGGAAGUGGGACAAGACUGGGUUCUACCCAUAUGACUCUGAUGAAGAUGAGCCGUAUGAGUAUGAAUAUGGAGAUGAUGUGGUCGAGGGGAACGUCGAGUCGUUUGAAGAGAAGGUGGUGUUGAAGAUCAGGACCCAAGGACCUGGUAUGUACCACAACUGGAGGACGGAAAAGUACCGCUGCCCCUUCUGCAGCAAGCCCAAGCCCAGGUCUGGGUUAUUGGAGCAUCUGAUGGAACAUUGCCGGGCUACAUCGAUCUCCAGUGGUGAGUACAAGAUCAGGGCUGAGCAUUCUGCCCUCCUGAAGGUCCUGAGAAACCCUAACCUCUAG